rnacentral:rRNA from 1 species
GACGAACGCUGGCGGUGUGCUUAACACAUGCAAGUCGAACGGUGAAGCGCCUUCCUCUUUGGCGGGUGUGGAUGAGUGGCGAACGGGUGAGUAACACGUGAGUAACCUGCCUCCUUCUUCUGGAUAACCGCAUGAAAGUGUGGCUAAUACGGGAUACUCCGGGUCUGUCGAAUGAUGGGUCUGGGAAAGAUAUUGUUUUGGUGGGGGAUGGGCUCGCGGCCUAUCUGCUUGUUGGUGGGGGGAUGGCCCACCAAGGCGGUCACGGGUAGCCGGCAUGGGAGGAUGGGCGGUCACACUAGGGCUACGACGCGGAGCAGACUACGACGGGAGGCAGCGGUGAGUAUUAUAGCACAAUGGGAACAAGGCUGCUGCAGCGACGCGUCGUGCAGGAGGGGAUCCGUCGGGUUGAGCACCUCUGUCGCCAAUGAAACGGGACUGCCUCGUUUGUUGGUGGGUUGACGGUAGCUGGAUAAGAAGCACCGGCUAACUACGUG